rnacentral:rRNA from 1 species
UACGGGAGGUAGCAGUGGGGAAUAUUGCACAAUGGGCGAAAGCCUGAUGCAGCUAUGCCGCGUGUAUGAAGAAGGCCUUAGGGUUGUAAAGUACUUUCAUCGGGGAGGAAAAAACAAAACUAAUAAUUUUAUUUCUUGACGUUACCCGAAAAAGAAGCACCGGCUAACUCCGUGCCAGCAGCCGCGGUAAUACGGAGGGUGCUAGCGUUAAUCAGAAUUACUGGGCGUAAAGAGCACGUAGGUGGUUUUUUUAAAGUCAGAUGUGAAAUCCCUGGGCUUAACCUAGGAACUGCAUUUUGAAACUGAAAUACUAGAGUAUCGUAGAGGGAGGUAGAAUUCUAGGUGUAGCGGUGAAAUGCGUAGAUAUCUGGAGGAAUACCUGUGGCGAAAGCGGCCUCCUAAACGAAUACUGACACUGAGGGUGCGAAAGCGUGGGGAGCAAACAGGGAUUAGAUACC